CACCUUUUGGCGAAGAUAUAUGUUAUCUGUGGUUAAAUUAUUUUCUCUAAUCUAUGUCAUGCUUACCGCUAAUCCGCUUGUUCGCGAAAAAAUGGCAGAUCCGGUUUUGUUUUCUUUAGCUCAUUAUUAAUUACGUGAUCUACAAUUAGAAUUAUUUAAAUAUCUGCUUUAUUUUAAUCGGCUUAAACAAACGACAGGCAAUUCGGCGCCGACGCCGGUCAUGAACCGUCCAUAUUCGCCAUUUUGUCAUUUAGCAAACUAAGAAAAUGCAAACAAAACAUUAUUUGCCCUAAACACGCGUUACUUCUAAAUAAUUUUGUCGACAAAGUGAGCCUGUUUUAUCAAAUUGAACUCUGAACUGCAAUUGCAAUGUAAUUUUCCGUUAGCGAAAGUGAGGUUAUGAAAUUGACAUGACAUUUAGUGAAUGCAAUGCAAUGGACAUGUGUUUUGUUGUGUUUCUCAUCAAGAUAAUAGAAGAAUCUAGUGCUCAUACUCAUGAUCCAAUGAGCAAACAGCCCAUGCAAAGGAUGUCUUAACGGGCCAUACUUCCACUGAUAAAACGAAUGAAUUGCCUACUUCAAAAGCAGCUUAGCAAAAAGUCAACAUCUAAUUGGAAUUUACAAUGCCCGAUAUUUCUACACAUCUGCCACAAAUUUUAUGGAAAACAAUAUUUAUAGAAACUGAACAUACCUUGGUUAAACGUAUAUGAAAUGGGUAACCAUCCUCGAAGAACAUCAACCAGCUGUCGGCAAUGUGCAGGUGGACUGAGGAAUUUUCCGGUGUGUCCUUUAUGGACUGUACUCCGUCUUAGCACUAUCCUCAAGUUUUACCCGAGAGGCCAUGCUUCAGGUUGGACCGUCUUCCAUAUAUCUACUGACUUCAUAUAAAUGAAAGUGUACUGAGGACUCACUAAUCUGCACUACUAGUAACAAAGUAAUCCGACAAUCAGACUGGACCCGG